UACGUAGGGUGCGAGCGUUAAUCGGAAUUACUGGGCGUAAAGCGUGCGCAGGCGGCUUUGCAAGACAGAUGUGAAAUCCCCGGGCUCAACCUGGGAACUGCAUUUGUGACUGCAAGGCUGGAGUGCGGCAGAGGGGGAUGGAAUUCCGCGUGUAGCAGUGAAAUGCGUAGAUAUGCGGAGGAACACCGAUGGCGAAGGCAAUCCCCUGGGCCGGCACUGACGCUCAUGCACGAAAGCGUGGGGAGCAAACAGG
rnacentral:rRNA from 1 species